rnacentral:rRNA from 1 species
AUUGAACGCUGGCGGCAUGCCUUACACAUGCAAGUCGAACGGCAGCGGACCUUCGGGUGCCGGCGAGUGGCGAACGGGUGAGUAAUAUAUCGGAACGUACCUUUCAGUGGGGGAUAACGUAGCGAAAGUUACGCUAAUACCGCAUAUUCUGUGAGCAGGAAAGCAGGGGAUCGCAAGACCUUGCGCUGAUUGAGCGGCCGAUAUCAGAUUAGCUAGUUGGUGAGGUAAAGGCUCACCAAGGCGACGAUCUGUAGCGGGUCUGAGAGGAUGAUCCGCCACACUGGAACGGAGACACGGUCCAGACUCCUACGGGAGGCAGCAGUGGGGAAUUUUGGACAAUGGGCGGCAAGCCUGAUCCAGCCAUGCCGCGUGAGUGAAG